rnacentral:misc_RNA from 1 species
GAUGAAGAACGUAGCGAAAUGCGAUAAGUAAUGUGAAUUGCAGAAUUCAGUGAAUCAUCGAAUCUUUGAACGCACCUUGCACCCUUUGGCAUUCUGAAGGGUAUGCUCGUUUGAGUGUCAUUGUACUCUCACACUCCCGAUCUUUGCAUUGGGAGCAGUGGACUUGGGUUUGCUGCUUCACCGUCGCUUACCUCAAAUAGGUUAGUGCAACUCUUGGUUGGACAUAGUACGGCGUGAUAAGUGUUCUUCGCCGGUGCCUCGCAAAGAGGGUGGCCGAUCGGGAUGUUGUGCUCCAAACCGUCUUCGGACAAUCUCUGACGACUUGACCUCAAAUCGAGUAAGACUACCCGCUGAACUUAAGCAUAUCAUAAGCGGAGGA